GAUGAACGCUGGCGGCGUGCUUAACACAUGCAAGUCGAACGGGAAACCUUUUAUUGAAGCUUCGGUAGACUUCGCUGGUUUCUAGUGGCGGACGGGUGAUUCACGCGUGGGUAACCUGCCUUACACAGGGGGAUAACAGUCAGAAAUGGCUGCUAAUACCGCAUAAGCGCACACAUCUGCAUGGCCCAGUUCGAAAGACUCCGGUUGGAUAAGGUGGAUCCGCGUUGUAUUAGCCGGUUGGUGGGGUAACGGCCUACCAAGGCGAGGAUCCAUAGCCGGACAGAGAGGGAGAGCGGCGACAUUGGGAGGGGGACACGGCCGAGACUCUUGCGGGAGGGAGCAGUGGGGAAUAUUGCACAAUGGGGGAAACCCUGAUGCAGUUACGCCGCGUGAAGGAAGAAGUAUGUGGGGAUGUAAACUUCUAUCAGCAGGGAAGAUAAUGACGGUACCUGAAUAAGAAGCCCCGGCUAACUACGUG
rnacentral:rRNA from 1 species